rnacentral:misc_RNA from 1 species
GAUGAAGAACGCAGCGAAAUGCGAUAAGUAGUGAGAAUUGCAGAAUUCAGUGAAUCAUCGAAUCUUUGAACGCACAUUGCGCCCCUUGGUAUCCCGAGGGGCAUGCCUGUUCGAGCGUCAUUUCACCACUCAAGCCUGGCUUGGUGUUGGGCGACGUCCUCUUUGGGGACGCGCCUCGAAACGCUCGGCGGCGUGGCACCGGCUUUAAGCGUAGCAGAAUCUUUCGCUUUGGAAGUCGGGGCCCCGUCUGCCGGAAGACCUGCUCGCAAGGUUGACCUCGGAUCAGGCAGGGAUACCCGCUGAACUUAAGCAUAUCAAUAAGCGGAGGA